CUGGCUGAUGCAGGGUUCAUGCCACCCCCUAGUGGGGGAUUGGGGCAGUGCCAACCAUCAGCCUGGCUGCUCCCUGUGUGCUACUGAGCCUGGAAGUGACAAAGACCCACCCCUGUCCCCACUCAGGCCACCUGCUGCUCCGAUCACCUGCACUGCUGCCCCCAAGACACUGUGUGUGACCUGAUCCAGAGUAAGUGCCUCUCCAAGGAGAACGCUACUACGGACCUCCUCACUAAGCUGCCUGCGCACACAGGUACCAGAGGCAGGGCGCAGAUACAGGGGUAGGGCCCCCUUUCCUCCCUUUUAGGCCUGGCCUUAGGAUCACUGCAAGGUGGCGUAAGCGGUACCCUCCAUCUUCAACACCUGGUUGCAGCUGUGGAGCUGGCAAAGGGUGGAUACCCCUGAGGGUCCCAGUGCCACUUCUGACCUGUCCUCUCUGCCUCCCUCACAGUGGGGGAUGUGAAAUGUGACAUGGAGGUGAGCUGCCCAGAUGGCUAUACCUGCUGCCGUCUACAGUCGGGGGCCUGGGGCUGCUGCCCUUUUACCCAGGCUGUGUGCUGUGAGGACCACAUACACUGCUGUCCCGCGGGGUUUACGUG
rnacentral:sRNA from 1 species